rnacentral:rRNA from 1 species
UACGAAGGGUGCAAGCGUUAAUCGGAAUUACUGGGCGUAAAGCGUGCGUAGGCGGUUGGCUAAGUCAGAUGUGAAAGCCCUGGGCUCAACCUGGGAAUGGCAUUUGAAACUGGCGAGCUAGAGUGUGAUAGAGGAUGGCGGAAUUCCCGGUGUAGCGGCGAAAUGCGUAGAGAUCGGGAGGAACAUCCGUGGCGAAGGCGGCCAUCUGGAUCAACACUGACGCUGAGGCACGAAAGCGUGGGGAGCAAACAGG